AAUUCUCAAACCUUCUUGGUUUCUUGACCAAGAUGGCUUUGGACUUUGGAGGUGUUUUGCUGGCUUUGCACAAGGUCGGCUCCUCUUAAAUGCAUUAGUGGGGUCCCCUUUGCCAAUCCCCAGGCGUGAUAAGAUGUUUUCUAUGUCUUGGGAUUUGCUCUGUUCAUUGGGAACCCGCUUCCAACCGUCUCGUGAGAGACAUCGUUCGAGCUUGCUCGGCGCACGAA
rnacentral:misc_RNA from 1 species